UCCUGGCUUAGGACGAACGCUGGCGGCGUGCCUAAUACAUGCAAGUCGAACGGUCUUUCUAUGGAAGCUUGCUUCCACUGAGAAGAUAGUGGCGAACGGGUGAGUAACACGUGGGUAACCUGCCCAUAAGAGGGGGAUAACAUCCGGAAACGGGUGCUAAUACCGCAUAGUUUUCUUGAUCACAUGAUUGAGAAAGGAAAGACGGCCUUUGUGCUGUCGCUUAUGGAUGGACCCGCGGCGUAUUAGUUAGUUGGUGAGGUAACGGCUCACCAAGACGAUGAUACGUAGCCGACCUGAGAGGGUGAUCGGCCACAUUGGGACUGAGACACGGCCCAAACUCCUACGGGAGGCAGCAGUAGGGAAUCUUCCGCAAUGGACGAAAGUCUGACGGAGCAACGCCGCGUGAGUGAAGAAAGGUUUUCGGAUCGUAAAACUCUGUUGUCAGAGAAGAACAAGUUGGAGAGUAACUGCUCCAGCCUUGACGGUAUCUGACCAGAAAGCCACGGCUAACUACGUGCCAGCAGCGGC
rnacentral:rRNA from 1 species